rnacentral:rRNA from 1 species
GGAGGGAUCAUUACACAAAUAUGAAGGCGGGCUGGAACCUCUCGGGGUUACAGCCUUGCUGAAUUAUUCACCCUUGUCUUUUGCGUACUUCUUGUUUCCUUGGUGGGUUCGCCCACCACUAGGACAAACAUAAACCUUUUGUAAUUGCAAUCAGCGUCAGUAACAAAUUAAUAAUUACAACUUUCAACAACGGAUCUCUUGGUUCUGGCAUCGAUGAAGAACGCAGCGAAAUGCGAUAAGUAGUGUGAAUUGCAGAAUUCAGUGAAUCAUCGAAUCUUUGAACGCACAUUGCGCCCUUUGGUAUUCCAAAGGGCAUGCCUGUUCGAGCGUCAUUUGUACCCUCAAGCUUUGCUUGGUGUUGGGCGUCUUGUCUCUAGCUUUGCUGGAGACUCGCCUUAAAGUAAUUGGCAGCCGGCCUACUGGUUUCGGAGCGCAGCACAAGUCGCACUCUCUAUCAGCAAAGGUCUAGCAUCCAUUAAGCCUUUUUUUCAACUUUUGACCUCGGAUCAGGUAGGGAUACCCGCUGAAC